GGUCGCUCUAGGCCACGCAGCACUGUGCUGGGAUGUUGCAGCUGCCUGGGAGUGACUUC
rnacentral:pre_miRNA from 1 species